GUUUUNGUUAGCAUCACGGACGCGUGCCGAAAGCCUUUGUGUAACCGUUGCGUAUAGUUGCGUAUAGCAGAUCGUUCGGGAGNAAACUGAAGGAAAAUUGGCCGUAACGAUCGGACGUGCGUAGUUACGCAGUUUAUAUUUUUAGACAAUUACGAGUGUAUAGCACCUGUUUCUUUAUUCUCAGUAGUUGCAAUAUUUUGGACACACGGUGCAACAUACUGUGCGAUGUGCUGGGUACAACAAAAUCUGACUUCCUCUUUAAAAUAGAAUCGCACUCCAUGACUACCUGCCAGCCUUNAUCUAGUUUGGAUGUCAUGGCUCUGAGUCAGAUCAAUAAAAGGAACUGUAAGGCUUUAAAUGCUGUUACUAAUUAAAGUUUAUAUUCUAUGCCGAAGAAAUAUCAAAUUGUACUUCUACUAGAAAAACAUCAGAUGGACUUAAACUGUGUUGUGAAUCUGGACACAGAUGAUGUGCNUUGAUUGAUGCAAAAAAAGGUCUCUUUUUAUAUUGUGCUUCUAAAUUUAAAANGCUCACUACAGUACGUGGUGUUAAACAAACAUAUCAGCUUUUAUUACAUCCUCACUUGGAUCUAGCUUUAAUGAUAGCUAGUGAAUACAGAGAAUUAAUGUACUGUAACUUAAAGCUACUUAAAAAUAAUGCUUUAGCUGCUGACUGUUCAAAACCAGCAAUCAGUACAAAGAGUGUGUUAUCAGCUCCUGAUAGUUGCCAUCUUUAUUAUCAGUUAAAAGAUGAAAUAUUGUAUGUCGCCACUGCAUCUCAUGUAAUGUAACUUAAAUGGAAAAUUGGAGAUUUUGAGGACAACUUUGUCAUAUUCCAUCAAACUCAAUCCUUUAAAACUGAAGAACCUUGCAGUCGCUCCAUAUUUACAUCCAAUUUCCUUAUUAAAGGAUGUCAAAAAUUUUUACAAAUUGAUUUAAAAACUUAUAAUUGGUGAGAGAACAUCAAAUAUAUUACAUACGAUUUAAAGCUUUUUUAUGUUUUUAACAAUGACAGUAGAUUUUUAUGUACAAUGUAGAAUUUCCUGAUGACGAAGCUAAACUUGGUAUAUUUCUUAUUUGCAUUUUACAUAACUCGAACACAUGUGACACAACUGAACUUUUACUGUUAUAAUGAAUUUGAUGUAUUUGUGGAUGAAAAUGGCAGAAAAACUCUUGCUAUUAUGUCAAUAUGGAAUCAUUUACCUUUUGCUUUAGUUCGCAUCACUGACGCGUGCAGACAUGCAAAAUCACGCCACAAAAAAAAAAGACAAGCAAUAGUCGCCGAAUACUACAAAUAAUCGUGUCUUGUGCUCUUCAGUGGAUAGCGAAGAAGACUUUUAGUGUUAAAAAUACAAAUAAUGGAUAAAAAGCGAUCGAGAAAAGACGUUGCAUCUGUAUCAAACCGACAUUUAAAAAGAUUGGCUACGCAAGAAUCAGAAAUUGUUUCUGAUGCUUUAUUAAGCACGACUGUAACGUCAUCAUAUAAUAAUGUCAAUUAUAAAUACACAGAACAUUUGGAAAAUGUCUGUACAAUUAAUUCAGAUAUAAUACAUAAUCAAGCUNCUGAGAAUGCUGUAACCGAAAAUGAUAUUCUUUACGAGUGGAACAAAAAUAAUGAUUUAUUACAAUCAUCCGUUAGCGACUUCUAUAAAUCAGAAAUUUCUUUCAUAUCUGAAAAUGCAACAGUUAACAAUUUUAAAAGUGAUCUUGCUGU